rnacentral:rRNA from 1 species
AACAAACGCUGGCGGCGUGCCUAACACAUGCAAGUCGAACGCGAAAAUCGGCUUCGGCCGAUGAGUAAAGUGGCGCACGGGUGAGUAACGCGUGGAUAAUCUACCCUUCAGUUGGGAAUAACUUAUCGAAAGGUGAGCUAAUACCGAAUAAAACUGCCUGACCACGGUCGGGUAGUCAAAGAUAGCCUCUGCUUGCAAGCUUUCGCUGAAUGAUGAGUCCGCGUACCAUUAGCUAGUUGGUGGGGUAAUGGCCUACCAAGGCGACGAUGGUUAGCUGGUCUGAGAGGAUGAUCAGCCACACUGGAACUGAGACACGGUCCAGACUCCUACGGGAGGCAGCAGUGAGGAAUCUUGCGCAAUGGGGGAAACCCUGACGCAGCAACGCCGCGUGAGUGAGGAAGGUCUUCGGAUCGUAAAGCUCUGUCGGGUGGAAAGAAAUGUAUGGGGUUAAUAGCCUUCAUACUUGACGGUACCACCAAAGGAAGCGCCGGCUAACUCCGUG